GAGUCCACAUAGAUGUGCUUUCAUUUCCCUGCUCUGAUCACUUAUUGUAAGAAGAACAGCUCUUCUGAAAUUCAGAAAAGAAACAAGAGACAGAGUAAUUUGAUGACUAAAUGAUAAAGUAUGAAGUCUCCACAUAGCAAACCAAGGAAAGUAAAGAGGGUAAGGGAACCGGGACCAGGACUGGCGCAAAUCCCUGAUCAACUGGAACAAGUCAAAGGAUGAAGAUUGUACCUGGCAUGAAGGUGGAACGUAAGGCAGACCUAUUCAAAUCCGACUAGGUUUCUGAUUGGUUGGCCUGUUGGAAGGUAGAUCCUCAAGAACCUAUGAGUAAAUUUUACCAGGC